GCGACUACAGUCACUCCAUCACACGGUACUUACGUUUCUACUGUUUUUCAGGAGCUGAUUUCCACAGUGGUUGACCUCAUUUACACUCCCAUCGACAGUGACCUAGGUGUCCCUCCCUUGUCGUCUUCAUGAACACUUGUUUAGUUUCCUCAUCUCAGCUGUUCUCACGGAGAAAUUUCAAAGUUUGAAAUCUUAUGUUAAAGUCUGGCCAACUUUGGACCGAUUUUUCUUCAUGCAUGACCUUUGAAGGAGUCUAGACAGGAAUCUAGUUUCCAUCUUUCACAAUUGCUGUUUUCCUGUGCACUGUUUGUUAAAGAGACUAUCUUUUCCCCAAGUAAUUCACGACAAGAUAAAUGACCUCCUUGGCAUUUUUAUGACUCUCUGAAGCCUUGUGCUGGAGACUGGCAUGAAGGCCUUCCACUCUGUGCAUCAUGGAGGUUUGCUGCAGUGUGGGCAUUGCUGACUGCCUGGAGAAGCCUCCUCACCAUUUCUCCUGUUCCUUUCCAAUGAGACUAAAACGUUUUUGGGUUUAAGAUGACCAUAUUUCACAAGCUCUUCUCUAGCUCUGUAAGGCCUACAUCUCUGCUGUGUGGAACUUUUCCAGCAGAUACCUGUUGUGGAGAAUCACAUCCUGGAGCCUUUGGACACCCAAAUGAACAUAUGCACAAGUCUUUUAUAGAAAAUGGCAUAUUAUUGGAGUAUGACCUAUAUAUAACUUCUUGCAUUAUGAUAUUUUAUGUAUAGUAACAAGCCUAAUGUGACUAGUAUGGAAAUACUUAUUAUACUUUGUUAUUUAGUCAAUAACAAUAAAAGUACAAUACAGAACUUUUUGACAA